AUGGAAAACACACUCGCCAUGAAGAGCAGCACCAACACAUGAGAAGAGAAGGAAAAUCCGUCCAUCCCAUUGAAUACAGAUGUGGCUUGAUGACUCUAAAUUGCCCUGGGUGUGAAGAGGUGUGUGAUGCUUGUUUGUGCAUGGUGCCCUGCCAUGGACGGACAUCACAUCUAGGGGUCGUGGGGAACCUGGAGCCUAUCCCAGGAGGCAUGGGGCACAAGACGGGGUACAACUUGGACAGGAUGCCAAUCCAUCGCAGGGCACACUCACAUACACAUUCACAAUAAUGAUAAUGAUAAUGAGUCUUGAUUGAUCACAUAUACAUAUGCACAGUGAAAUUCUUUUCUUUGCAUACCCCUGCAUGUCAGGAAUGUCAGCGGCGGGAAUCGAAGCCCCAACCCUGGCGGCGUGAGGCGAACAUGCUAACGACUAAGCCACCAUGCGCCCCAUUUAAAUGCGUAAAACAUAAGUCUUUUUUAAGUCUAAUUCUUAUCUUGUUUUACUCCGGACUCAAACUAAGAAUGUAAAAAACUGAGACCUGAAAUGAACUCUGCUUGCAAAUGCUAACAGUUGACGUUUGUUCUAUAUUGAAUCCAGGCUUUGUACACUGCAGCGAAUGAAUUAGUAAAAUUCUGCCCUUUUCAGACAUACAGUGCACAGCCUCUUGAUGAGACACAGGCGUGUCAUUACAUAGGAGACAUUCUUAACCUAUGGCGGUUUUCUCCUUUCCCUCCGUCAUCGUAAAUUCUCACAGGAGGAAAAUGCCUGCAGGAUGAGCUCUUAGACAAAGCCCUUUCAGUUUAGGUUGAGUUGAUUCAUCCGCUUUUCAUGCUGGUUUCAGGGAGCGGCGUGCCAGGGCUCGAUCUUUGCUCACAGAGCAUUAACCCUGGCAUGGGUGCCAGCUCUGAUAAUCCUCAAUCAGAGUAAAUUAAUAGAAGGAUAAGCUGUCGAAUGAUUACUGCAGCUGCGUAUGGUGUGUUUGUUGGGAUGAAAUGUGAAAUGUGGGUGUGUCUGUGAUAUAACCAGUUUGAGCCCUGCCUGUAAUUAUACACAAAGUCUUAAAUGUCACCCUAUAUAAAAAUGAACUAAUUAUACACAAACUUAACCCUCUGUAGUAUGCCAUCCUUUAUAAAUGACAUAAUAGCGAAAGAGGGUUCAAAAUUUGGUAUGCAUGAGAGUUCAAAAGUUGGUAUGCAUGAGAGUCCAACCCAAAGGAAGUAAACAACAAUGCAUUUGGCCAGCUAUGAUGGAGUCAUUUGGCAACGACAUCAGCACGCCAUGUGUUUGUAUGUCCUUGUAAAAUAAAUUUCUCAAGGUGGUAGCUGAUCAAUACAGCUACAUAUCACCUGUUUCCUUGAGCCAUAGAACAAGUUCAAGUCAUGUUCCUCUGUAGGAAACUAACUGCAGAAUAGAAACGUAGAAAAAUACAACUUGAUGUAAAUAAAAGGAAGAUAUAGUGGAAGUUCUGGACCCUGUUUUAUAGGUUUUCCAUUCUGCAAAUGUGGGUGCACUAAUGGGUGCAAAACGGUCCUUAAUAUUAACAAACGGUCCUGUGGAAUUUCACCUGUGACAUCCGUGGAGUGUUGUUUGAUAUGAAGAGGCACACUGUUUACACGUCCGGGACACAAGGACAACACUAGGCAGAUUUUCAACCUUUAUCUACCAUGUUUAUGAGGUCUCUGCUUUUUAUUAAAGGACCGAUUAGUGUGUCUUUGCUCUAAACGUGGUGCACUUUUGUUUUAUUGGUGUCAUUAUAGGUUUUCAGAUAAAACAGUUCUUCGGUCCUGCUCCUACAGUCAAUUAAAAAAAAAUAUUGGCACCCUUGUUCAAAUUCAUUUCUUAGCUUAAUCUCACACUGAAAAUAUGAAAGAAUUCUAACUUUUAAUUGAAGUCCAUUUAUUCUAUAAAAACAAACAAACAAACAAACGUUUUAACAGUUGUUAAUGCGUCCCAGUUUUUGGCAUCAGUUCUUAUGAACAAAAUGUAACUGAAACAUGUUUGCAAUCAUAUUUUGCUUUAUUUUGUAUUAGGUUAUUAAUUUAUUUUACGUUUUUCAAUCAAAUGCUUCAACCAAACUCUUAAGAGCCCAACCAUGACUUCCUGUUUCACUGAGGCGAGACAAAAGCGUUCAUAGUAACAAAAGUAAAUGGAUUUGAAAGUUUUAACGAGAAUAUGGAGGGGGGAAAAAAAACAAGAAUUUUGUCUUUCAUUUGAUUGCUUACUUAUUCCUAUGCAGAACAUUGCCUGGGACAUGAAGUAACACGUUUUAAGGAUUUACGAUGUCCUCAUUUGCUUGAAAUGAUACAAAAUUGCUCUGCCCAUUAUCUCUAGCCAAAGCAUACAGUGAACUCCAGAAGUAUUGGCACUCUUCAUGAGAAUGAGCAAAAAUGAUUGGGUGAAAUAAACUUACUCACAGUGAACUUGUUUUUAUGAAAUGGUAUUUUUUAAUGUUUCUUUCAAAAACAUAUGUGGCAAAAUGAUGGACAACCCUUAAGAACAAGGACAAACUGUCAUCCAAACCUCUUUUGUCAUCCUUCAACGUGGACAAAGCCUAACAGCUUUCAACACAACAAAAACUGAUUGGUGGCUGUUGACCUGCACAAGUCAGGUAAUGGGUAGAAAUAAGUAGAUAAGAAGUAAAAUAAAAACACUUCAGAAGUUUUGAAGGUGCUCUAGAGAGGAGUCUUUACCAAAUAUCAGUUGUUGCAGGGGUGCCAAUAAGUUUGAAGCCAGGUGGGGCAAGUCAUAGGGCCGCCAAGGGAUAGCAGAAAUCCUCCUGUUCGGUAGCAUUCUCCAGUAAAAAUGGGAUUUAUCUCAUACGGUCUAUCACCUGCUCACUCUUUUGUGGUUGCUUUGCUGGUCAAAACGAUCUCUUUGAAUCAAGAAUAAGCAAAAAAACGCACCCAACCACGACUGUCCGAUCGAUCUGCAAUAGCAGUAGCCUUAUCAGCUCCCACCUUUCUCUUUUAUGUUGUUAUUUCUGCAUCUCCUGUUGUUCUUGCCUCACUCUGUUUCACACACACACACACUCUUUACCUUUACCUCAUCUCAGCUAGUAGUGGCUAGCUUGGUUCUGUCUUGAAGCAAAUCAGAAAGUGUGGGAUAAUUCUGUAACUAAUAAAGAAAAAGGAAUUGAGGGGGAGCGCUUUGAUGGAUCUGGCUGAAAAGAUAUUUCAUGUUUUUUGUGAGCGAUGUGUGAUUCUAUGGAGGCCGCGCGCACCCCUGCUGCUCCUCUCGGCCCACAGGCGGCCCCCCCUCUGGCUAACGUUAUGGAGAAAGGAAAGCAUUUUAUAGCGACCUCUCUCUCUCUCUCUCUAACUUUUCCCUCUCUCUCUCUCUUUCUCUGUCUCUCUCAAUCUCUCUUCCCCCCUCCAUCAGACCCCUUUCUUCUUUUGUUCCCCUUUGAAGAAUGACUUUAGACAUUGUAUUUACAUAUUUAACCAUGGAUGAAAGAAAGGAGGGGUGAGGAGAAGAAGGCUUCCCGAGCCCUUUUGGGAAUAUAGACAAGUUGAAAUGAAUGAAAAUCUUUUUAGUUGUUUUUUUUUUUAUAUGUUUUUUUUAUCCCUCUUUUUUUUGUGAAGUCUAAAACGAUAUGAUGAAGAUAAGAAAAGACAUCACCUGGACACAGACUCUGCGUUUUGUCUUCGGAACACGUCAAACACCGAUAAAGGGUC